GUUAGAAUUCUCUGAGGAAGAAAUGCCCCAUCCUGCCUCCCAUAAUGAGGGCAGGACCAGGAGGGGCUUUACAGGGAGACUGAGGACUCAGGAAGUGAACACCCUGAGGGAGAGGAGGGGCGUGUAAAUGCCUCUGCCGCAGCAGCAGCAGCAGCCGCCACCGCCGCUGCUGCCAACCUGUAGAAAGAAAGAGACGAGAGAAGGUUCCAAGGUCGUCACCCUGAGACCUUUCCCGUGGAGUAGAGCAGAGUUUUCCCGGCCAGGCAGGUGGUAUCUAUUUUACAGGUACAUAAACUCAAGGCCCUAGAGAGAAAAGGAGUUCAGCCCCAGCCAGAUUAUUUGGAUAGAAGGAAACAACAGCUUAAUGUAAAGUGAAGGAAAUUACUGGUAAUUUUAAAAAUAACUUCUACUGAAAAGCUCUCUGGUUCUCCUUGUGGUCAGGAACCCAGACCAGAAUGUGGAUUUAUUGGUCCUUAUCAGGCAGGACCUCACUGGACCUUACAGCUACAUAGUACUCAUGAAAUCUGGCUGUUUCUCUCCAAGUCCAGAGUGAAACAUCUCAAUUCAGCAGAUACCUGUGUGUCUUCUCUGGGCAAAGCAAGCCUGGGGAUAGGAGAU